AUGUAAAUUACUUGUGAUGAAGCUUGGUUUUUAUUUGUUGGUUUCUAACUAAUCGUGAGGCUAAGUAAGAAUUCAUAAUUUAAAUCGUAAUAUUUUUCUCAGUGGCUGUCAAUAUGAUUUAUAGCUUUUUUGUGUCUGAGUUCGUCUUGUGUCCUUGUUUGUCAUUUGUGCAUUGUUGUCUGUUUUUGUAACUGAAGACCUGAAGCAAUAUAAUUAUUUAUUCUACUUUA